GCGAUCAUACCAUCACUAAUGCAUCGGAUCCCUACAGAACUCCUAAGUUAAGCGUGCUUGGGCAGAUUAGUACUAGAAUGGGUGACCGCCUGGGAAGUUCUCGUGUUGCACAUA
rnacentral:rRNA from 1 species